rnacentral:lncRNA from 14 species
CAGCAGCAGUGCAAUGCCAGAGGAGAUUUGGAAUAUUUAGCAGAGAUCUGAGCUUUCUUCAGCCCAGCACCUGAAACAUGGUCCUUCCAACUAUUCCUCAAUUCUUUACAGUGAUCUUCCUUCCCACAGCAGAGGAAGAGGGCUGAGCCUCCUCAUACUGCUGCAAACACCAUCCUCUUCAAUUCAACUGCUUUGGUUUAAUGUGAGCAUGAAGCUGAGGGGAUCCUGGGUCUCCUGAACCUCCUCCAGCAAUUCUGGGUCCUCCGCAACGACUCCACCAGCUUCGAUGGCACUAGGAUAUGGCCUUCAUGACACAAAACAUUAAUUUUCUGACUUUCUCUAUCUUUUCCUUGGGGUUUCAGUUUCCCCUUUCAGAGAACUGACCUAAACAGUCUGUUACAGUGCAUGGUUUCCAUAAUAGAAGUAAUAGUAUGUGAUAUGGAAGCAACUUCAUUCUUA